rnacentral:lncRNA from 1 species
GUUGGGGUGCCCAGGACUAGGUGGGGUGGGAGUGCUGCGUUCUGAUGAUGGUGAGUAGUCUUGAUUUCUGUUAGUAGCAUUCUUAUGUUUGCCUUUCACCAUCUGGUAUUCUCUGGAGCUGUUCAGGAUACACUCAGCGGGGUCCUGGAACCAAGAUGUCUGUGCAGGAUACACUGGGCAGGGUCCGUGAACCAAGAUGUCUGCUGCAGAUGCUCAGGCAAAGUGCUCCCGCACCGUGCAGAUCCCUAUCCUCAGAAGUCUUAAGAUCGCAUGGUGGGUGUUGUGGAUAGCUGGCGGAUGUCAGCUGACUCUGUGCCCUAGCGACCCUGGUGCUGCUCGG